CUCAUAAACGAGCUCUCGAGGCAGUUUUGUGAGACUCCAAAAAAGGCUUUCACGAGGUCAAUGCUGGUGGCAUAAGUACCUGCUGGGCUUCCCAGGACAGCAGCUGACAGCACAGGCUUGGCAGACACCCCUGAGAGAGUCUUCGGCACAUAUGAUGUCCUCUAUUGAUGUUUGCUGAAUAGAUGAGGAUGCCAAAAGAGGGAGGAGAUACCAAAAGAGGGAAAGAAGGACACCCAGAAGACAAAUGGUGCUCACCUUGAGG